AUACGUAGGUGGCAAGCGUUGUCCGGAUUUAUUGGGCGUAAAGCGAGCGCAGGCGGUUUCUUAAGUCUGAUGUGAAAGCCCCCGGCUUAACCGGGGAGGGUCAUUGGAAACUGGGAGACUUGAGUGCAGAAGAGGAGAGUGGAAUUCCAUGUGUAGCGGUGAAAUGGGUAGAUAUAUGGAGGAACACCAGUGGAGAAGGCGACUCUCGGGUCUGUAACUGACGCUGAGGCUCGAAAGCGUGGGGAGCAAACAGGAUUAGAUACCCUGGUAGUCCACGCCGUAAACGAUGAGUGCUAAGUGUUGGAGGGUUUCCGCCCUUCAGUGCUGCAGCUAACGCAUUAAGCACUCCGCCUGGGGAGUACGGUCGCAAGAUUAAAACUCAAAUGAAUUGACGGGG
rnacentral:rRNA from 1 species